rnacentral:rRNA from 1 species
GAUGAACGCUGGCGGCGUGCCUAAUACAUGCAAGUCGAGCGAACGGACGAGAAGCUUGCUUCUCUGAUGUUAGCGGCGGACGGGUGAGUAACACGUGGAUAACCUACCUAUAAGACUGGGAUAACUUCGGGAAACCGGAGCUAAUACCGGAUAAUAUUUUGAACCGCAUGGUUCAAAAGUGAAAGACGGUCUUGCUGUCACUUAUAGAUGGAUCCGCGCUGCAUUAGCUAGUUGGUAAGGUAACGGCUUACCAAGGCAACGAUGCAUAGCCGACCUGAGAGGGUGAUCGGCCACACUGGAACUGAGACUCGGUCCAGACUCCUACGGGAGGCAGCAGUAGGGAAUCUUCCGCAAUGGGCGAAAGCCUGACGGAGCAACGCCGCGUGAGUGAUGAAGGUCUUCGGAUCGUAAAACUCUGUUAUUAGGGAAGAACAUAUGUGUAAGUAACUGUGCACAUCUUGACGGUACCUAAUCAGAAAGCCACGGCUAACUACGUG